GGGCGUGUAGCUCAGCGGGAGAGCGCGUGCUUAGCAUGCACGAGGCCCGGGGUUCGAUGCCCGGCGCCUCCA